AGUGAACGCUGGCGGUAGGCCUAACACAUGCAAGUCGAACGGCAGCACAGUAAGAGCUUGCUCUUACGGGUGGCGAGUGGCGGACGGGUGAGGAAUACAUCGGAAUCUACUUUUUCGUGGGGGAUAACGUAGGGAAACUUACGCUAAUACCGCAUACGACCUACGUGUGAAAGCAGGGGAUCUUCGGACCUUGCGCGAUUGAAUGGGCCGAUGUCGGAUUAGCUAGUUGGCGGGGUUAAGGCCCACCAAGGCGACGAUCCGUAGCUGGUCUGAGAGGAUGACAAGCAAAACUGGACCUGAGACACGGUCCAGACCCCUACGGGAGGCAGCGGAGGGGAAUAUUGGACAAUGGGCGCAAGCCUGAUCCAGCCAUACCGCGUGGGUGAAGAAGGCCUUCGGGUUGUAAAGCCCUUUUGUUGGGAAAGAAAAGCAGCAGGUUAAUACCCCGCUGUUCUGACGGUACCCAAAGAAUAAGCACCGGCUAACUUCGUG
rnacentral:rRNA from 1 species